UCCCUCUUAGCUCAGCGGUAGAGCGCUUCACUAGUAGAGCGGGUAUAAUCAUGCUCCAUAUGAAGAGGUCAGUCGUUCAAGUCGGCUAGAGGGAA